GGAAAGGACCAUAAAGACCACCUAGUUCCAACCUUUAAACUCCCACCCAACCCAGACAUGGACAGGAUCAACACUGAGAAUUCUUUCUCUGUGCCAUGGGUUCAUGGCCAUUCUUAGUUGGUGGAGCUACUUGUCUGGUUAAUUCCAAUAAUGCCUAAGUCUCUGGCAUGAUAAUUAGUUACAUGGCACUUGAGCAGGUGAUGUCCACCUUCUUAGAGGGACAAGUGGCAUUCAGCCAUCUGGGAUUAAGCAGUAACAGGUCUGUAAUGCCCCGAGAUAUCUGGGGCUGUAUGUAUGCUACACCAACUAGCUCAGCUGUGUCUCAGAUCAUGCUGGCUGGCAUGGGUAACCUGCUGAACUCCAUUCAUGAUGUGGAUUGAGGACAGCAAUUAUUCCCCAUAAAUGAGGAAUUUUCAGUAAGUGCAAGUCAUGAGAUCACAUUGAUAAAGUCCCUCCCCUUC
rfam:Callipepla squamata strain Texas jcf7180005233789, whole genome shotgun sequence.